GCCUGCAUGGUGUAAUGGUUCGAGCGUUGGACUACGACUCUCAAGACCAGGGUUUCAUUCCCCGUUUGGCCA